CGAAGACAUUCUUUGAGCCAUUUCGACAUUUUAGAGAUCUAAGAGGGGUAAUGCACUUGACCAUCUUGACGGUGUAGUGGUGCUUGAAAAACUCUAUGUAGCAUCCACUAGUGGCAGAGUAACAGCACUAUUUGUCGGGAUGGCAGGUGAAAAGAGGGGUAAGAAAACAAAGAAGGCUAACGAGACAGCGGUUCCCCGGAGACCACCAGAAAACCUUGCGAUUAGAGAUAGAAGCCCGUCGCCAUGUCUCCCACCACGCGGCGCUCCAUUGCCUCAUGAUCCCCUCAUGAAUGGCAUUGCAUAUAGUCUUCCACCUCCGUACAGCUUUGGUCGGCCCUAUAUGGCUCCACGCCAGGGCUUUACUGAGGUGCCUCCCCAGAGCCCCUCGAUGAUGUCCACACCAGGUUAUGCUACCCCACAAGGCUUCACUCGGUAUACUUCCGGGUCUCAGCGGGCUUCGUCUAGUGGUACUCCGACGGCCACUCCCAGUCCGACUGCAUCACAUCACUCUUCAUCAUCUACUGAACAGUAUGAGAUUAUAGGUCCUGACCUUCGAGCAAGUAGUUCUGUGCCUGACGCUCCUGCUGCGAAUGACUUACUUAGAGGUGUAAGUGCUCCACAGCUUGAAACUUAUGACUCAUCAAGGCGACUCAUCAUCGAGCCUGUGGGAUACGGGUAAAGUCCACUAGGCAUGAUGCCUAGGGCUAAUUAACAUAUAUUUUCUUCAAAGCAAAACGAUUAAAGAAGCUUUAUUAAGUGUUUAAUUUUAUAUUUUUGAUAGUUGGUUACCGGACAAAGCUUCAUCUCUCCUUACAGAAGAGAUACAAAAACUAUUUAAAGACUCACCUACUUGGGGCCAGAUGUCACCAAAUCGCUAGAGACAAAUCUAUUUUGCCUUUAAGGUAUAUGCUUAUUUUUAUUUAAACAAUCCACUUAUAUUGAUCGAUUACUUAUUAAUAAACUCAUUUACUUUUCGUUGCAGGACAAAUGUGUCUGGCGCCCGGAACAUGAGAUGCAGAUGACUCAAAACUUCAAGAAGAAAGCUCAGCGCUUACUAUGUGACAUGUUAGGAAGGGUUCGUCAAUCUAACAAGAAGACUGGGUGGAUCCUUCUUGAAAACUAUAACAAGCUACUUCAUUACUGGGCAGCUAAUGAAAGAUUCUUACAACUGAGUGACAUAGGGAAGAAGGCUAGAAAUUCGACGAAGGGUGGCUCCCUACACACUAGUGGGGCUAUGAGUCAAGAGGCCGUGAGGAGGA